GCUAGGAAUCUUGCGCAAUGGACGAAAGUCUGACGCAGCGACGCCGCGUGCGGGAUGAAGGCCUUAGGGUCGUAAACCGCUUUCAGCAGGGACGAAAUUGACGGUACCUGCAGAAGAAGCCCCGGCCAACUACGUGCCAGCAGCCGCGGUAAUACGUAGGGGGCGAGCGUUGUCCGGAUUUAUUGGGCGUAAAGAGCUCGUAGGCGGUUUGGUAAGUUGGAUGUGAAAUCUCCAGGCUCAACUUGGAGGGGUCAUUCGAUACUGCCAUGACUAGAGUUCGGUAGGGGAGUGUGGAAUUCCUGGUGGAGCGGUGAAAUGCGCAGAUAUCAGGAGGAACACCCGUAGCGAAGGCGGCACUCUGGGCCGGAACUGACGCUGAGGAGCGAAAGCGUGGGGAGCGAACAGGAUUAGAAACCCGGGUAGUCC
rnacentral:rRNA from 1 species